UACGUAGGGGGCAAGCGUUGUCCGGAAUCAUUGGGCGUAAAGCGCGUGUAGGCGGCUUCGUAAGUCCGUUGUGAAAGUCCAGGGCUCAACCCUGGAAUGCCGAUGGAUACUGCGGAGCUAGAGUACGGAAGAGGCGAGUGGAAUUCCUGGUGUAGCGGUGAAAUGCGCAGAUAUCAGGAGGAACACCGGUGGCGAAGGCGGGUCUCUGGGCCGAUACUGACGCUGAGGAGCGAAAGCGUGGGGAGCGAACAGG
rnacentral:rRNA from 1 species